AUCCCGUUUUUCCAGAAAGGAUUCGUUCAGAUGUUCGCCCGGAGACGCAGCCUGCAGCUGAGCUCCUCCCAGUGUGUGUCUCCAGGUGUCCUCCAGUGUUGUGUGUCCUUCUCUCUGACCACCAGACUGUCUCCCAGCUGGAACAAAGCAGGACUCUUCCUCAUCGCUGG